UACGUAGGGACCAAGCGUUGUUCGGAUUUACUGGGCGUAAAGGGCGCGUAGGCGGCUUGACAAGUCACUUGUGAAAUCUCCGGGCUUAACUCGGAACGGCCAAGUGAAACUGUCAUGCUAGAGUGCAGAAGGGGCAACUGGAAUUCUCGGUGUAGCGGUGAAAUGCGUAGAUAUCGAGAGGAACACCUGCGGCGAAGGCGGGUUGCUGGGCUGACACUGACGCUGAGGCGCGAAAGCUAGGGGAGCGAACGGG
rnacentral:rRNA from 1 species